UACGUAGGGUGCAAGCGUUAAUCGGAAUUACUGGGCGUAAAGCGUGCGCAGGCGGUUCUAUAAGACAGAUGUGAAAUCCCCGGGCUCAACCUGGGAACUGCAUUUGUGACUGUAGAGCUGGAGUGCGGCAGAGGGGGAUGGAAUUCCGCGUGUAGCAGUGAAAUGCGUAGAUAUCGAGAGGAACACCAGUGGCGAAGGCGAGUCCCUGGACAACACCUGACACUGAGGCACGAAAGCUAGGGGAGCAAACAGG
rnacentral:rRNA from 1 species